GGCGGUGUGCCUAAUACAUGCAAGUCGAUCGGGCGUAGCAAUACGUCAGAGGCGUACGGGUGAGUAACACGUAGGUAACCUACCGUUUAAGACUGGGAUACCCAGACGUAAAGUUUGGCUAAUACCGGAUAACAACAUUUGAGACAUCUCUUUUGUUUGAAAGGCGCUGCAAGGCGCCACUUUUAGAUGGACCUGCGUCGCAUUAGCUAGUUGGUGAGAUAAAGCCCACCAAGGCUGGGAUGCGUAGCCGAUCUGAGAGGAUGACCGGCCACAAUGGGACUGAGACACGGCCCAUACUCCUACGGGAGGCAGCAGUAGGGAGUUUUCGGCAAUGGGGGAAACCCUGACCGAGCAACACCGCGUGAGUGAAUGAAGGUCUUCGGAUCGUAAAGCUCUGUUACGAGGGACGAAUGAUCGCUUUAGGAAAUGAGAGCGGUUUGACGGUACCUCGCCAGAAGGCGACGGCUAACUACGUGCCAGCCGCGGC
rnacentral:rRNA from 1 species